CUACGGGGCGCAGCAGUGGGGAAUAUUGGACAAUGGGGGAAACCCUGAUCCAGCAAUGCCGCGUGUGUGAAGAAGGCCUGCGGGUUGUAAAGCACUUUCGGUUGGGAGGACUGCUUCUAGCACUAAUAUUGUUGGAAGUUGACGUUACCUUCAGAAGAAGCACCGGCUAACUCCGUGCCAGCAGCUGCGGUAAUACGGAGGGUGCAAGCGUUAAUCGGAAUUACUGGGCGUAAAGCGCGCGUAGGCGGCUAGAUCAGUCGGGUGUGAAAGCCCCGGGCUUAACCUGGGAACUGCAUCCGAUACUGUCUAGCUGGAGUACAGGAGAGGAGAGUGGAAUUCCACAUGUAGCGGUGAAAUGCGUAGAUAUGUGGAGGAACACCAAUGGCGAAGGCAGCUCUCUGGCCUGAUACUGACGCUGAGGUGCGAAAGCGUGGGGAGCAAACAGGAUUAGAUACCCGCGUAGUC
rnacentral:rRNA from 1 species